rnacentral:lncRNA from 10 species
UAAUAAGAAAUUGCAAGGCAGUAAUAGAAUUUAUUCUUCUUGGAUUGACAAGUGACCCACAGUGGCAGGUUGUGCUUUUCAUAUUUCUUGCUACCUACAUGCUAAGUGGGACUGGGAAUCUGAUCUUUAUCACUCUCUCACCCUUUCAGAUCCCCAUCUGCAGACUCCCAUGCAUUUCUUCCUUCAGAACUUCUCAUUUCUGGAAAUAUCAUUCAUGUCUGUCUGCAUUCCCAGAUUCCUUGUCACCAUCGUGACUGGAGACAUAACCAUUUCUAUAAUGGUUGUGUGUCUCAGCUAUUUUUUUCAUCUUGGGGGUGACCAAAUUUUACCUUCUGGCUGCUAUGUCCUUUGACUGCUA